rnacentral:misc_RNA from 1 species
ACUGGGCGAUAUUCCACCUUCCGAAGCAGGACUUGAUCGGUCUUGGGUGCGUUUAUGAUAUUAUUAUUCUGUACGCGUACAAAGUGCUCGUAUUCGCGGUACAUAUACAUGUACCGUAAGCCGAUCUUGGGAAAGAAAAUAUCAAUACUGAAACAUGGGUUCCCGACCUUUAGAUACCGAGUAUUGAUCACAAUUUUUGUAUUAAUUCAUCUGUUUUGUUUUCUUUGGGUUGGAAGCGGCGGCGAUAAUUUUACGUGAGAGAAAACAGCAAGAGAUAUGGAUCGUCUUGGAGAGUCUUCGACGAAAAAGUAAAAAUUGCUUUCAAAGAGCAUUGAUUAAUGUAACAAUUAUUGUUUGAGGGAUUUAAAAGAAUUGAUUCGAAGAAACGGCCAUUGAUACGGUCGGUGACUGACAACAGGGGGUUCUUAACGGACUUUCUCUGCCAAUGUUACAGCGUAAAAAUGUCUUAGAUGAAACCUAGGAAAAACCCGGGAAUCGAUGACCUUCCGAGUUACCCUGUGUGGGUCGACAACACUUUCCUCGCGGGAGAUAGUGACAUUAGCAUACAAAUUGAAGAACUGUUCCCAAGAAAGAUUCUCAUCGUGGCUGUGUGAUUUUUUAUUCUCUUUGACUAUGGAAUACUUUUUUGGCGCGCAGAUUUGCGAAGCGAAAGCGCUUUGAAUUAAGCAGUCGCUUGUUUAACUAUGGAUAGAUGUAGUAGAUAAAACAUAUAUAUCAAACACGAUAAAAAUUCGUUCCCUCGAGUAGCAGUACGUACGACAUUUAGCAGUAAUGUGAAAUAAUGUUUGACAUUUGAAGAUUACUUAUUAGAUAUCGGUAAAGAUGUUCGUUUUGAGAAGCAGUGUUACGUACGUUGCUGAGAUAUCGCCAAAUUAAAAUCCGGCGACGUAUAGAUUGUUUUGAGAGAGAAUUUUAUGACACAGUUUAUCAUUUCUAGGACUGCACCUUUGUUUAAGUUCCAAGUUCCGAACGUCUCAUUACUGACGUAUAUACACGACAUAACGAUCGAUUUUUAUGGACAUCGGGUGAAUUAAAUCCACGCCGACCCUUGGGGACCCACAACUGAUUACGUAUCUGAACCUAAAUAUCGCCUUCACUGUACACCUGCUCGUAAUACGAUGCUUUGGACGACAACAACAACAAUGAUAUCGUGUCUUUACUGUGAACAUUUACAUUGAAAGCAAAAUUAUGUUUGGAUUUUUAAAUAGCAUUGGGCAGUUUUCGUUCUCGCCAAAACGGACUAAAAAUGGAGAAGGUAUGUUGUUUUAGAGAAUAGUGGUCGGAAUGCAUCGAUAGGAAAUUGCAAAGAAUGUCAUGAAAUACUCCAAUAGCGUUGAAUUGUGUGAAUAAUUAUAAGAUAUCGUGUGACAUGCGGUCAAUUAUUUAUACAUGCAAAAUGUGAUCGUCCAUGCCAAUCGCCUAUCGUUGGGACACGCUACUAAAUGUUGUAUAUGGUGCAUUUUCAUAUGUUGAUGUUUCGUAAUAUGCAAUGCACCUACGGUCUAAUGUGGACUUCACAUGUACAGAUGAAAAUGCGAGAGUUUAACCCCCAUGUUUGACAGAUAUUAUUUUAUAUCUAUUAUAGUCUAAUAGCAUUUUAUAAUUGAUGAUGCGAAAGCCUAGGUAAAAAAGAACUGUUCAAAGAAAAGCAAAUGAACUUUAUCACGUAACAAAUGGAUUGAACCGAUUUUUACUUGCUGUGUAGAAACCCAUACCUUGUUACAAUAGGACCGUAUAUCACAACUUUUUGUUGUUGUACCCCCCCCCCCCUUUCAAAAUUUUCGUUUCGAAGAAAGAAUUUUUGGAAUG